rnacentral:rRNA from 1 species
CCUAGCUCCAAUAGCGUAUAUUAAGCUGUUGCAGUUAAAAGCUCGUAGUUGAAUUUCGGGAUCAAGGUGCCAGUCAUGCCUUUGGUAUGUACUGACAUCAUUGAUUUCUCCCUUCUGAUGAACUGUGAUGUCAUUAAUUUGGUGUCAUGGAGAAUCAGGACUGUUACUUUGAAAAAAUUAGAGUGUUUAAAGCAAGCACACGCUUGAAUACAUUAGCAUGGAAUAAUGAAAUAGGACGUUUGAUCCUAUUUUGUUGGUUUCUAGGAUCGACGUAAUGAUUAAUAGGGAUAGUUGGGGCAUUAGUAUUCAAUUGUCAGAGGUGAAAUUCUUGGAUUUAUUGAAGACUAACUACUGCGGAAAGCAUUUGCCAAGGAUGUUUUCAUUAAUCAAGAACGAAAGUUAAGGGGAUCGAAGACGAUCAGAUAUCGUCGUAGUCUUAACCAUAAACUAUGCCGACUAGGGAUCGGAUGAUGUUAAUUUUUAAUGACUCAUUCGGCGCCUUACG